GACCUGGGGCAGCUCCCAUCACCCGGCGGGGCGGGCCUGGCCCCGCCCGGCAGGGAAACGGGGACUCUCCGGAGGGGACACUGGGUGCUUCGCCGAUGGGUGGGCCAGGAUCGCUGAGAGUCAGCCCCGGGGAGCAUAAGGGGACUGCACCUGCUACUGAUGAUCGGGACAGGAGGCUCUGGGACAGCUCGCGGGUGAGCUCCGCGCUGGACUUGGCCAUGGCGGCCGUUGCUGCCGCUGUUGCUGCAGAGGAGCCGCCGCCGCCGCCGCCGCCGGGGAGCCGCGGCACAUGCUAGACCCGGCUCCGGCAGGGCCCGGGCGCUGAGCGCUGCAGCAGCCGCGGAGCCCGCUCCAGUCAGGGGCGGCUGCGCGAGCGCUCCUCCCCCCCAGCCUCUGAGCGCCGGGUCUCCCGCCCCGCCCGGAGAAGUGCCGGACUGAGCAUGCGCGCCGCGCCUCCCAGCCGCGUGAGACCCCGCGCGCGCUCGCGCCCACCCCUCCCGCCGGCUCCCGCGUGCGACGCCCUGUGCGUGUCUCCUGGAGCCUGGGCCAUCUCCCGGGUGGGGGGCAGCGUCCCCACUUUCCGUGUCACCUACUCCUCAGGCACUGUGAGCAGAACCCAUUUCUUUUGUUUGUGGGCCUGGGUACCCCUCGCCGGGUCACCCUUGCAAGGAUCCUCCCUUUUCACUGCUUGCCCGGGACCGUCCAGUUUGUCCUCACUGACCCGCGAAGGAAGGAACUCGCGGCCAAGGGCAAUGCCGGGAGAGGACCUGGCAGAAUCUGGGGGAGUUCGUCCUUCCUUUCCCGCUUGCCCAGCCUGGGAGAUCCCUGCGGCGUCCUUGGCACCAUCCCUGCGGGUAUGAGGCCGAGAGUAGCACCUGGGAAUUCCCUUGCCACCCCCUUCCAGCUGGCAGCUCUGCAAACACCUCCACCCCUGAGCAUUACGCUUAGGUCCUGGAGACAGGGAGGAGGGUCAGGAAGAUCCAGACUUAGGAUCUCAGGGGAUCUUAGAGGGAUCCAGUCCACUCAGUGCUCUCUGCUGGGCUACCACAUCUAUGCACCCUACACUGAAAAAAACCACACUGAUUCAAAGCAAUGUGAUCAUUUGCAUUUUUAUUUGCACCUCAUUUGCAGCAAGUUGUUAAUUUUCAACCCUGUUUCAUCUACUCCUGAUUCCUUCUCUCUCAUAGCCCUCAAUUCCCUGAUGCCCAGAAAAAAAAAAAAAUUAGUUGGUUUCGACAAGGCAGACUCCGCCCUCACAGCAGGCCUGUCCUGUGCUCUCAGGGGAAGCCUUUAUCCAAGACUACAGCAACAGUGGGAAUCCUCAUAAGGCCACACCUUGACCACAGAGAACACUGGAUCUUUUUACAAGGCAGAAUUGACUUUGGGGAGUAUGGUGUAAGGUGAGCAGUAUGCUAGGCAGAGGUGGGAAAGGCCAGUUGAUGAAUACUGGAACAGGACCCAGGAGUUGGAGCCCAAUCUCUGCCCUGGUGGAUGCUCUCCAGGUUCUCAGAGGCGGGAAGGGGUCCCUCCACCCACCACCACCGUCUCCCCAGUGAUGUAGCUGGCGUCUUCAGAGCACAGGAAAGACACGAUGCCUGCACAGUCUUCCGGCUUGCCUAACCUGGCAGGAGGGGAAACAAGGAAGAGACUAAAAGUCAAACAGGCCUAAGAGCGUGGAGAGGAGAGAAGACUGGCUUUGGACUGAACAGACAGAGAACCAUGGAAGAUUAAUGGCAAGGGUACUCUGACCAUCCAGGUGUCUUCUAAGUCUUGCUCUAGAUUGCGUGAUUGCUACCCUAAAAUAGUUAAGAGUUGCUUGCUCUGUGUUCUGACAGGUCUAUUUUUAAGAAAAAGAAGAAUCCAGUAGAGCAGCGGCUAAUCUGGUUUCAGCUCACGAUGCCUUUGACAAGCUUCGAAGUGCAGAUUAGGAGGCCACUGGGGAGUAACCAUCCUCAGGGCAGCAGCUUUCCUCAUCACAGGGUAACAGCUGGCAAGAGGCAGAACACAUCUCAAACUGCUAACAAGUAUCCUAUCAUUCACCACUGACACUGGUCAUUCAAACUACCUGAGGGUCAUUUUUGAUUCAUUGCUAUACUUCCCAUUUCCUGACAUCAGGUUAGGGAAAAAAAAAUCUUGGUUGGUUCCCACUAAAUGUCUCUUGGGCCUAUCUGUUCUGGUCCUACAACCACUGCUCUAGACCUAAGUGACAGCAUCAGCUUCCUCGCUGAUGUCUUUGGCUUGGAAUCUUUAGUCCAAUACAACCUUCCUACCAGUGCUAGAUUAUCUUUCUCUAAUAACCAUUUUCAUCUCGCUCAAAACCUCACAUGGUUCCUUAUUUCCUCCAAGAACGUGUCUAAACUCCUUUGGGAGGCCACGGAGGCCCCUGUCCCCCAUCCGUCCUACCUGGCACAUUUCCCACCAGCGCUCCGGCACCUGCACUCUCUGCUGUGGCUUCACAGCGCUCUCCUCUCCCCUUCUGUCCCUCCUUGGCUGUCUGCUCAUUUUGCAGGGUCAUCCGGAAUCCCGGCCCUAUGCCAUCUGCCCAGUCCCACCUACUCCUCAAGGUCUAGCUCAGACCCCACUUCUGGGCCACGGCUGCAGGAUGGGUGAAGUGGAACUGGUGAGGGACCAGAGGUCAUUUUUCUGGCAGGAUUUUGACAUUAAGUAGCUACACACAUUUCCAUGUAGCUUAUUAGUCGGCCCAGGAUCCCAGAUGGCUCUCUUCAUUCUGAGGAUCAAGGUCUCAGUCUCAGGCACUGUGCAGCAGCCUGUGCCAGGCAAGGUGACUUUCUUGGAGCCAGUGCACAUUUGAGCCUCUGCCAAAUGGUUCCCUACAAAUGGAAUAACCUUAUGCUGUCGUCUAUACCACUGUCUACCAUCAUUUCACAUCCUCCUUGUCUAAGACGAUUACUCCAAUUAUUUCCGCCACUUUCCAUUCUGUUAGCACAAUCUUUUACUUCUCAUUCUUGGCUAGCUUCUCCCUCCCACUCCAAGACAUAAAGUGUGUGCCCUGAGCCUAGGGAGAGCAGCCUCCUUUGCCAGAUGUUCAUAUUUUCUUGUGCAGCUGGAAGGCUGGUGCCAAGUACCAACUCUGACACUGGCUUAGACACUUUCUUUGAGACUAAAGUCCUCGUGGGCACCCAAGGCCUGACCUGAUGGGGAAAUGCUAACGGGGAAAUGGCCGGUAGUCUGUAGGCAGCUUGGCAAGUCUGGGUUGGCUCACAGCUCUUCUCUUACUAGCUGUGGGACAGUGGGCGGUUGCACCAGCUUUCUGAACCAGUCUCUCUAUUCAGGGAGAAUAGUCCUUGCCUUGCUUGGGCUGUUGUCAGGUUUAGAGAUAACCCGAGUAAGGCUUGGAACAAAGUUAAUGGCACACAGCAGGUGGUUGAAUCAUGGUGGACUACCUCGUGUCUGUUCCCAGGGACUUGACUUUAUAAACUGAAGAAUAAGGGAUUGAUGGUUUAUUAGCUCACAAGUGGGAAUACCUAUUUUGCGACUGUAUUUAGAUUGGAAAUUACUGGAGAACUAGGACCAGUUUUUUUUCUUUGGGGUGUGGUGCUCCAAAGGAUGAUGCAGGGUUGAAGUAUUAUAGUGGUUUUUGAUUCUCUGACUGAUAUGGGAUGAUUCUUGAAAGCAGAACACAAAGACACACAAUAAGAAUAUGCUAGUGGACUGGUGUGGGUAUGCAGAAUGCACUGUUAUGUUUUAGUUAACAGUGCUGGCUUGGCUUACACUCCUGUUGUCCAGGAAAGCCAGCUCAGGCUGGCUUCCUUCUGCCACCUCCUGGCUCUGCGCCCAUAUCCUUGCUGCUCACCGUGGCCACCAGCCGCUCUCGGUCCUCAGCCUUCCCCACGUGGCACACGGUGCCCGUCACGCUCAGCCCCUCCCCCUGCAGUGCUGCCACCGCCCGGUCCACGUUCUCCUGCUUCCGGCUGCUGAGCACCACGCGGGCCCCGUCCUGGGCCAGACGCUGGGCGAUGGCCAAGCCGAUCCUGUGGGCAGAGAGAGAGAGGAAUGUCAAGUCCAGAAUAGGAAGAGAGGGUGAGCAUGAGCUCCUGAGUCAGACUGCCCGGGCUUUGAAUUUCAGCUCUCUCUCUUUCUGUAGGACUGAAAGAGAAUUAAUAAGAUGGCCAUACUUAGGCUAACAGAUUGCUUAUUCUUAUGCUUGUCCUUAAAACGGUCAACUAACCUGACUGACCGGUUGCUACUCACAGCUCCAGGCCCAUUGUUAAAAUAAAGUUAUUAAUUUUACUGUUUCUGCUUUAUGCCAGUAAUCGAAAGUAGUAAUCAUGCUUGGUCUCUGAGUCAUUCUCCAGGGAGAAAUUCACGGGACUGUAACCUCACAAAAUAGCCUGAAUUACCAAGAAGACCAUGCAUUGGGUGCUUAUAAGAUAAAGAGAUCAAAAGAGCGACAACCACUAGCAUCUACAGAAUUGGUCACCUGGAGACACCAUGACACCACUCGAGAAGAAAAUGAUUCUGUUGAUUGUUAUAGAUGAUUUAUUGUUUGAGCUAUGGCUAUAUAAUCACCCCGCCCCAUCCCCAAGAUGGGUUCACAGUUUUGAAGGCACUAGCCUGCUGUGAGUCCCCUUUUGCCCGGCAAAGUAAUAAAGCUAUCUCCUUUCUUCUAUGCCCUAAGA